CAAAUUUGGUUUUUAAUAGCAUAGUGGUAUAGCGUUUUCUGCGGAAGUGCUAUGGUAGUUUAUUUUCCGUCUCUACUAACUAAUUAUGAUGCUUAUAAAACGCUAUCGAAUAUAUCUACAUUAUACGGGAAUAUAUUUGACUUAAUUUCUCAAAAAUAAAAACCUAACCACGACCAAAUUCCUAAGAGUUUAUUCACAUUUAUACUGCCACUAUAAACCCCACUAUCACCACCGGCAACCAUAGUGGAGCAAUACACCCCACUAUCACCACCGGCAACCUCUCAAAAGCCCUCUCCAAUCUGGGGUUUUCUCCAAUUCCUUGAUGAGAAAUCGCGUCGCGGUCAAACGACACCGUCUGAUUGUUGAUUUUAGGCUCGAUGAUCUCUAAAUAUGGUUUAUGCCAUCAGAACGAAAUCCCAUUACGGACUGGGCAAAAUCACGGACAGAUAAGAAGCCUAUUUCCUUCGCUACUCGUAGUAUUUAACAACCAGUAUAUUUGGCGUGGUGGUAAGCCAAACAACAUUUUGCGGUACUUGAUUCAUUCCCUCAAUCCUCCUUCCUGGUUGUACAUAUCAAUGGUGUGAUGGAUUAAGUGUUAAAUGUUGCCAGGUGACCAUCCACAUAUUGCAGUAGACUACUCAAACGAGAGAGAAAUGUAUUCAUAAGAAAUGAAUAAGGAGGAAGGAAAUCGAGGAAGCAGAGGAAUGAAAAACGAUGUGACGGUCUCAGCUGGAUGAUCAUAUUUAAUUGUCGCAUAUUAAGUUGUUUCUGGAGUUAUUUCAUUCGUCUUUACUUUUCAAGUUUAGGAAUUUUUUAACCUUAUGAAUCGUGUCGAAAAAUGGUAAGACAUUGUCUUGCUCGAAAUUCAAAUAGAUAUUUAUGGAUCAUCUUUUUGUCGUAAUACAUAUCAUUUUGAGUAUAUAAUUUUUUUAUAUAUUCA